AGAGUUUGAUCAUGGCUCAGGAUGAACGCUAGCGGCAGGCCUAACACAUGCAAGUCGAGGGGUAGAGGGGAGCUUGCUCUCCUUGAGACCGGCGGACGGGUGAGUAGCGCGUAUGGAAUCUGCCUUGUACAGGGGAAUAGCCCAGGGAAACUUGGAUUAAUGCCCCAUAGUGUUGAGGGGCGGCAUUGUUCUUCAACUAAAGAUUUAUCGGUACAAGAUGACCAUGCGUCCCAUUAGCUUGUUGGUGUGGUAACGGCACACCAAGGCUACGAUGGGUAGGGGCCCUGAGAGGGGGAUCCCCCACACUGGUACUGAGACACGGACCAGACUCCUACGGGAGGCAGCAGUGAGGAAUAUUGGACAAUGGGCGAGAGCCUGAUCCAGCCAUGCCGCGUGCAGGAAGACUGCCCUAUGGGUUGUAAACUGCUUUUAUACGGGAAGAAACACUCCGACGUGUCGGGGCUUGACGGUACCGUAUGAAUAAGGAUCGGCUAACUCCGUGCCAGCAGCCGCGGUAAUACGGAGGAUCCAAGCGUUAUCCGGAAUCAUUGGGUUUAAAGGGUCCGUAGGCGGACAAUUAAGUCAGCGGUGAAAGUCUGUAGCUCAACUAUAGAACUGCCGUUGAUACUGGUUGUCUUGAAUCAAUGUGAAGUGGCUAGAAUAUGUGGUGUAGCGGUGAAAUGCUUAGAUAUCACAUAGAACACCGAUUGCGAAGGCAGGUCACUAACAUUGCAUUGACGCUGAUGGACGAAAGCGUGGGGAGCGAACAGGAUUAGAUACCCUGGUAGUCCACGCCGUAAACGAUGGAUACUAGCUGUCCGGCCUACAUUGGUAGGCU
rnacentral:rRNA from 1 species